rnacentral:rRNA from 1 species
GAUGAACGCUGGCGGCGUGCCUAAUACAUGCAAGUCGAGCGAACGGACGAGAAGCUUGCUUCUCUGACGUUAGCGGCGGACGGGUGAGUAACACGUGGAUAACCUACCUAUAAGACUGGGAUAACUUCGGGAAACCGGAGCUAAUACCGGAUAAUAUUUUGAACCGCAUGGUUCAAAAGUGAAAGACGGUCUUGGUGUCACUUAUAGAUGGAUCCGCGCUGCAUUAGCUAGUUGGUAAGGUAACGGCUUACCAAGGCAACGAGGCAUAGCCGACCUGAGAGGGGGAUCGGCCACACUGGAACGUAGACACGGUCCAGACUCCUACGGGAGGCAGCAGUAGGGAAUCGUCCGCAAUGGGCGAAAGCCUGACGGAGCAACGCCGCGUGAGUGAUGAAGGUCUUCGGAUCGUAAAACUCUGUUAUUAGGGAAGAACAUAUGUGUAAGUAACUGUGCACAGCUUGACGGUACCUAAUCAGAAAGCCACGGCUAACUACGUG